rnacentral:lncRNA from 1 species
CUGAGGAAGAGUCAGGAGUCUGUACUGAGGAAGAGCCUGGCGUCUCUCCUGAGGAAGAUUCAGGAGUCUGUACUGAGGAAGAGUCUGGAGGCUGUACUGAGGAAGAGUCAGGAGUCUUUACUGAGGAAUAGCCUGGCGUGUCUCCUGAGGAAGACUCGGGAAUAUCCCAGUCUGACACAGCUCCGGCCCUGGGCUGCUGAGAGACUGACAGCUGCAGAGAGACAGACAGCGCCCCCUCCUGGACAGACUCCUCCGGGGUCUCCUCAGGACUGUCCUUCUACAGUUUCCGACUGCGCCUCUUCCUCGUUCUUCCUCAAGGCCUGUCCGUCAUGACUCUCCUGGCGUCCGAGAGAUCCCUGCUCAUCCGGAACAAGUUCCGCUCCGUCCUGCAGUUACGCAUACAGAACCGGAGACAGCAGACAGAGCUGAGCUCUGAAAACGGUAAGAGUCUCCAGUCCCUUAUACCAAACUGUAAGGAGAGUUUA